AACGAACGCUGGCGGCAUGCCUAACACAUGCAAGUCGAACGAAGUCUUCGGACUUAGUGGCGCACGGGUGCGUAACGCGUGGGAAUCUGCCCUUGGGUUCGGAAUAACAGUGAGAAAUUACUGCUAAUACCGGAUGAUGACUUCGGUCCAAAGAUUUAUCGCCCAAGGAUGAGCCCGCGUAAGAUUAGCUAGUUGGUGAGGUAAAGGCUCACCAAGGCGACGAUCUUUAGCUGGUCUGAGAGGAUGAUCAGCCACACUGGGACUGAGACACGGCCCAGACUCCUACGGGAGGCAGCAGUGGGGAAUAUUGGACAAUGGGCGAAAGCCUGAUCCAGCAAUGCCGCGUGAGUGAUGAAGGCCUUAGGGUUGUAAAGCUCUUUUACCAGGGAUGAUAAUGACAGUACCUGGAGAAUAAGCUCCGGCUAACUCCGUGCCAGCAGCCGCGGUAAAGUGACU
rnacentral:rRNA from 1 species